rnacentral:rRNA from 1 species
AGUGAACGCUGGCGGCAUGCUUUACACAUGCAAGUCGGACGAGUGGCGAACGGGUGAGUAACGCAUCGGAACGUACCAAGUAAUGGGGGAUAACUGUCCGAAAGGACAGCUAAUACCGCAUAUUAUUCGAGCGGCCGAUGUCUGAUGAGCUGGUUGGCGGGGUAAAGGCCCACAAAGGCGACGAUAACUAGCGGGUCUGAGAGGAUGAUCCGCCACACGGGAACUAGGAAACGGCCCAAACUCCAACGGAAGGAAGCAGUGGGAAAUUUUGGACAAUGGGGGAAGGCCUGCGCCGGCCAUGCCGCGUGUUGGAGGAGGGCCUUCGGGUUGUAAGGGACUUUUGUCAGGAAAACGGUACCUGAAGAAUAAGCCCCGGCUAACUACGUGCCAGCAGCCGCGGUAAUUC